rnacentral:misc_RNA from 1 species
CCGAGUUACCAGCUCCCGAAACCCCCUGUGAACAUACCCGAACGUUGCCUCGGCGGGAUGGCCCCGGCGCCCACGGCGGCCCGGAACCAGGCGCCCGCCGGAGGACCCAAACUCUUGUUAUAGCGGCAUGUCUUCUGAGUCUCGCGGGGAAAACGAAUGAAUCA